AUUAGCUAGUUGGUGAGGUAACGGCUCACCAAGCCUACGAUCUAUAGCUGGUCUGAGAGGAUGAUCAGCCACACUGGGACUGAGACACGGCCCAGACUCCUACGGGAGGCAGCAGUGGGGAAUCUUGCACAAUGGGCGAAAGCCUGAUGCAGCCAUGCCGCGUGAAUGAUGAAGGCCUUAGGGUUGUAAAAUUCUUUCGCCAGGGAUGAUAAUGACAGUACCUGGUAAAGAAGCCCCGGCUAACUUCGUGCCAGCAGCCGCGGUAAUACGAAGGGGGCUAGCGUUGUUCGGAAUUACUGGGCGUAAAGCGCACGUAGGCGGACUUUUAAGUCAGAUGUGAAAUCCCGGGGCUCAACCUCGGAACUGCAUUUGAAACUGGAAGUCUGGAGUUCAGGAGAGGUUAGCGGAAUACCGAGUGUAGAGGUGAAAUUCGUAGAUAUUCGGUGGAACACCAGUGGCGAAGGCGGCUAACUGGACUGAUACUGACGCUGAGGUGCGAAAGUGUGGGGAGCAAACAGGAUUAGAUA
rnacentral:rRNA from 1 species